GAGUGCAGUGGUGCCAUCUUGGCUCACUGCAACCUCCGCCUCCCAGGUUCAAGCAAUUCUCAUGCCUCAGCCUCCUGAGUAGCUGGGAUUACAGGUGUGUGCCAAAACAUCUGGCUAAUUUUUUUUUUUUUUUUUUGGUAGAGACGGGGUUUCGCCAUGUUGGCCAGGCUGGUCUUGAACUCCUGGCCUCAAGUGAUCUGCCUGCUUCGACCUCUGAAAGUGUUGGGAUUACAGGCAUGAACCACCACGCCUGGCCUGUCAUCCCUUCAAAUGUUCUUUCAGAACUGAGGCAUGCAGAGGCUGGAAGACAGGCUGGGCUCACCCGGGUGGUUAUCUCUGAGAGAGGACAUGGGUGAGGUCAGAGGCCUCUCCCUGGAGGAGGUAGGUGGAGAAGCCAGGUGGCAUCCAGAUAAGGAAGACCAGCAUCUCCUUGAGAGUGUACACGGGAGCACGGGAUGGGGAGGGAGGCUGAGUGCUCCUUACAGGCCCACCCUGUUCCCUCCAGGUGUUAGCUGCUGUUGUCCUGGGUCUUCAGUGUUGACCAUCGCAUGGCAUUUGGGCAGCUGGUUCUGCUGGGUUACGGUCCUCAUGUCCCUGGCACAGACACAGCCAUUGCCUGCUGGCACUUGAUACCUACUCAUAUUCCAUUUCUCUAUUCCAAACACACUGGAUUGCAUGGCCCAGGGCGCCACGGUGUGCACCAUUGUCUGGCCCACACUCACCUAGAAUACAUAUCAGGAUCUCCUACCCACUCCUUAGGUACAAGAAGAAGAAGGGGUUCUGGCCGGGCAUGGUGGCUCACACCUGUAAUCCCAGCACUUUGAGAGGCCGAGGUGGGUGGGUCACAAGGUCAGGAGAUCGAGACCAUCCUGGCUAACACGGUGAAACCCCGUCUCUACUAAAAAACACACACAAAAAAAUUAGCUGGGCGUGGUGGCAGGCACCUGUAGUCCCAGCUACUCGGGAGGCUGAGGCAGGAGAAUGGCGUGAACCUGGGAGGCGGAGCUUGCAGUGAGCCGAGAUCGCGCCAUUGCACUCCAGCCUGGGCGACAGAGCAAGACUAUGUCUCAAAAAAAAAAAAAAAAAAAGGGUGGGGUUCUGGCCUUAAUCUGCCUCCAGCUCAGUUAUAAGGUGGCUUAUCUAAAGGCUUGGGAGGUGGGGCACCCAGCCCUACCCACCCAUCCAGGAAGUUCCACACCUGGACAACUUUCAAUUUCAUUAUUUUAGCUUCCUGAGAUUCAGAGGCCAGGAACUGUGCAGAGAUCUGUGGGGAUUCUCACAACUUCCAUUUCUGGUGAACAGCUGAGGUCAGAGAGGAGGUGGGUACCACUUGAGAUGGGCCUGUGGUUCCCGGGUACUGUCUUUCCAGACACCUAGAAUUCCCAGGUUGGUAGUGAACUGAGAGUCAACCACCAUGAUGGGGGCAGAGACAGAGGAGGAAGCAGUGAGUGGACAAGUGCCUGUGCCGGGCAGAAGGGAUAUAGGGGAAGGUGGCCAAAGGUAGGAUGGGGAAGUGGAUCCCAGGAAGCUUUUGUUUCUUCUGAGGCCAAUUUACCACCACCUCAUUGGGAAAUUGUUGGUAGGGAGGCACCCAUCCAAUUGCCUUGCAGAAUACAGCAAGGCAGGGAGCCCAAGAAUCAGAGCCAAGGGAAGAAACGACCAGUUAAAGUUAGUAAUGUGAAGUCUGGCAACCGUGCCCGUCAUUCCUCCCUGGUUCCUCUGUUCAUCAACGUUGGGGCUAGUCUGGCUGGGGCAUGGUGGGCCUGCCUUUCCAUCCCUUGGGCCCCUUGGAACAAGGGGGCAACUCUGCUGUGGGAGAUGUAGAAAAUGGGUCUCACUUUCUCUAUUUGGGGCAAUAGCUGCUACUUUUUUCCUCCAGAUGGGUACCAUGAGGGGCAGAGGAGAAUCUGGGAUCUGUGAUGUUUAGCCCUCUUUACUGAGUCAUGGCUGCCUCACGUUCUAGAAGUAAGGCAGGCAAAUCAUUCCAGGUACUGAUUGUCCUGGAACCUUUGGCUCUUCCUUGACCUCAUGUCACGUGCGUCCAUGUGAAGAGAGUCCACGAAACGGGCUUUAUGUGAACAACAAGGCUGGGUACAGGCAAGCUGAGUCCAAAAAAGGGGUCAGCAAAGGGUGGUGGGAUUAUCAUUAGUUCUUAUAUGUUUGGGAUAGGCUUACAAAGUACAUUGUCAAGGGUGGAGAAAUAUUACAAAGUACCUUCUUAAGGGCAGGGGAGAAUAUUACAAAGUACCUUCUUAAGGGCGGGGGGAGACUAUAUCGUAUCAGUUAGGGUGGGGCAGGAACAAAUCACAAUGGUGGAAUGUCAUCAGUUAAGGCUAUUUUCAUUUCUUUUGUGGAUCUUCAGUUGCUUCAGGCCAUCUGGAUAUAUACAUGCAGGUCACAGGGAAUAUGAUGGCUUAGCUUGGGUUCAGAGGCCUGACACCUCAGGCUGCCAAAUGUGGAAGAUUUAAAUACUUGAACCAAUACCCUCCUCCCAAAAACUGAAAUUGGCUUCUGUUUCUGAGUUGGUCCAGGCGCAAUGUUCAGCGUAUUUGAGGAAAUCACAAGAAUUGUAGUUAAGGAGAUGGAUGCUGGAGGGGAUAUGAUUGCCGUUAGAAGCCUUGUUGAUGCUGAUAGAUUCCGCUGCUUCCAUCUGGUGGGGGAGAAGAGAACUUUCUUUGGAUGCCGGCACUACACAACAGGCCUCACCCUGAUGGACAUUCUGGACACAGAUGGGGACAAGUGGUUAGAUGAACUGGAUUCUGGGCUCCAAGGUCAAAAGGCUGAGUUUCAAAUUCUGGAUAAUGUAGACUCAACGGGAGAGUUGAUAGUGAGAUUACCCAAAGAAAUAACAAUUUCAGGCAGUUUCCAGGGCUUCCACCAUCAGAAGAUCAAGAUAUCGGAGAACCGGAUAUCCCAGCAGUAUCUGGCUACCCUUGAAAACAGGAAGCUGAAGAGGGAACUACCCUUUUCAUUCCGAUCAAUUAAUACGAGAGAAAACCUGUAUCUGGUGACAGAAACUCUGGAGACGGUAAAGGAGGAAACCCUGAAAAGCGACCGGCAAUAUAAAUUUUGGAGCCAGAUCUCUCAGGGCCAUCUCAGCUAUAAACACAAGGGCCAAAGGGAAGUGACCAUCCCCCCAAAUCGGGUCCUGAGCUAUCGAGUAAAGCAGCUUGUCUUCCCCAACAAGGAGACGAUGAAGAAGGAUGGUGCUUCAUCCUGUUUAGGUAAGGGUGAUAGCCAAGUGUGUUCAGGGUGGCUGCACCAACCCACCCUGAGUCCCUGUGGCUCAAGACUGCUGCUCAGGUGGGGUCAGCUGAGUGGGUAGGAAGUCGGGAGGCACUGCCUAGCAGGUUUCAACUUUAGUCUGGAGGCUGCAUCUGUCUCCUCUAAACACAGUGGUUCUCAUUGGUUAUACCCCGAAAUCACACCAGGAAACUUUAAAACUAGUGACGACUGAGUCCUGUCUCCAGAAACUCUGACUUAAUUGUGGGGGUGUGGCCUGGACAUCAGGAUUUGUAAUAACUCCUCAGGUGAUUCUCAUGUAGUCAAGGUUGAGAACCACUGCUUUAACUUUCUCCAAAUCCUAAUUACUUCUAGUGUGGCCUGAGGACUGCACUUUGAAUGGCAAGGGCCAAAUAACCAAGUUUUUGUUUUUUUCCAGGAGGUGGAGAAGAAUUUGGGGUUGGGACUAGACUGGGGGUGAGCUGGGGAGAUGGAAGAUGGAAGUGGGGUCAGUGGGAGGCAAUGAUGGUAGGUAUCUUGGAAGAAGGAUGCUUAAUUUUAACACGGAAAGACUGGAAGAAGGGAAGAUACAAAGAGGUGGUCUCCAGAAGACAGUCAGACAAAUAACAGAGCCUUAGAAAUAAAACCUUUUGGGCUGGGCGGCCCAGGUUCUCAAUUGCUGCCUCUACAGGAAAGUCUUUGGGUUCGGAGGAUUCCAGAAACAUGAAGGAGAAGUUGGAGGACAUGGAGAGUGUCCUCAAGGACCUGACAGAGGAGAAGAGAAAAGAUGUGCUAAACUCCCUCGCUAAGUGCCUCGGCAAGGAGGAGAUUCGCCAGGAUCUAGAGCAAAGAGUAUCUGAGGUCCUGAUUUCCAGGGAGCUACACAUGGAGGACCCAGACAAGCCUCUCCUAAGCAGCCUUUUUAAUGCUGCUGGGGUCUUGGUAGAAGUGCGUGCAAAAGCCAUUCUGGACUUCCUGGAUGCCCUGCUAGAGCUGUCUGAAGAGCAGCAGUUUGUGGCUGAGGCCCUGGAGAAGGGGACCCUUCCUCUGUUGAAGGACCAGGUGAAAUCUGUCAUGGAGCAGAACUGGGAUGAGCUGGCCAGCAGUCCUCCUGACAUGGACUGUGACCCUGAGGCACGAAUUCUCUGUGCGCUGUAUGUUGUUGUCUCUGUCCUGCUGGAGCUGGCUGAGGGGCCUACCUCUGUCUCUUCCUAACUACAAAAGCCCUUUCUCCCCACAAGCCUCUGGGUUUUCCCUUUACCAGUCUGUCCUCACUGCCAUCGCCACUACCAUCCUGUCACCAGUGGGACCUCUUUAAAACAAGCAGCCAACCAUUCUUUGAUGUAUCCCAUUCGCUCCAUGUUAACAUCCAAAACCAGCCUGGAUUUCAUACAUGGACUUCUGAUUAAAAGUGGCAGGUUGUGCAUGUUA
rnacentral:sRNA from 1 species